UGGACCAUUGAUGACAAUUAGUGACAUUUGAGUCACAGACAAUGAUAAUAUAUGUCUGAAUCUCUGAGGUCCAG
rnacentral:snoRNA from 1 species